GGCACAGUAGUCUAAUGGUAUGACUCCUGCUAUGUAGUGUCCUGCUGACUUUAGGCAGAGGGCAGGUGGUCUGGGUUCGAUUCCCAGCUGAGCCA